rnacentral:misc_RNA from 1 species
CAGAAAUAUACACAGCCAGUAACCAAAUAUAUGCUCAAAAGUCGUUUGGGUAAAAUGCAAGAAUACUACACAUCCACACUUCUGCUUUGCAAAAGUGGGGCUUUAGUAGAGCAUGACGCAAAGUUAGAAUUUCCUUUCUCUUCAACCAUUUUUUCUUCUUCUUGGGCUUUUCCCCAUAUCACUGUAUAAAAUCCAAGGGCAAUAAUAAUCCCUCCAAUGACACUUCCAAUAUAAAGAGUAUCCCCAAGAAAAGAAACACCC